rnacentral:rRNA from 1 species
ACAUGCCUACAACAUAACGUUAAUGCAUCGGAUCCCAUUAGAACUCCGUAGUUAACUGCGCUCAGGCUAGAGUAGUAUUGGGAUGGGUGACCGCCCGGGAAGUCCUAGUGUUUUCAUUGC